UGAGUAACAUCAACUGGAGGACCGAACCGACUAAUGUUGAAAAAUUAGCGGAUGACUUGUGGCUAGGGGUGAAAGGCCAAUCAAACUCGGAGAUAGCUGGUUCUCCCCGAAAGCUAUUUAGGUAGCGCCUCGGACGAAUACUACUGGGGGUAGAGCACUGUUAAGGCUAGGGGGUCAUCCCGACUUACCAACCCUUUGCAAACUCCGAAUACCAGUAAGUACUAUCCGGGAGACACACGGCGGGUGCUAACGUCCGUCGUGGAGAGGGAAACAACCCAGACCGCCAGCUAAGGUCCCAAAGUAUUGCUAAGUGGGAAACGAUGUGGGAAGGCUCAGACAGCUAGGAUGUUGGCUUAGAAGCAGCCAUCAUUUAAAGAAAGCGUAAUAGCUCACUAGUCGAGUCGGCCUGCGCGGAAGAUGUAACGGGGCUAAGCAAUACACCGAAGCUGCGGCAAUGUCUUUUAGACAUUGGGUAGGGGAGCGUUCUGUAAGCCGUUGAAGGUGAAUCGUAAGGUUUGCUGGAGGUAUCAGAAGUGCGAAUGCUGACAUGAGUAACGACAAAGGGGGUGAAAAACCUCCUCGCCGGAAGACCAAGGGUUCCUGUCCAACGUUAAUCGGGGCAGGGUGAGUCGACCCCUAAGGUGAGGCCGAAAGGCGUAAUCGAUGGGAAACGGGUUAAUAUUCCCGUACUUCUGACUAUUGCGAUGGGGGGACGGAGAAGGCUAGGUGGGCCAGGCGACGGUUGUCCUGGUUCAAGUGCGUAGGCUUGAGAGUUAGGUAAAUCCGGCUCUCUCUAAGGCUGAGACACGACGUCGAGCUGCUACGGCAGUGAAGUCAUUGAUGCCAUGCUUCCAGGAAAAGCCUCUAAGCUUCAGAUAGUCAGGAAUCGUACCCCAAACCGACACAGGUGGUCGGGUAGAGAAUACCAAGGCGCUUGAGAGAACUCGGGUGAAGGAACUAGGCAAAAUGGUACCGUAACUUCGGGAGAAGGUACGCUCUUGAUGGUGAAGUCCCUCGCGGAUGGAGCUGACGAGAGUCGCAGAUACCAGGUGGCUGCAACUGUUUAUUAAAAACACAGCACUGUGCAAAAUCGCAAGAUGACGUAUACGGUGUGACGCCUGCCCGGUGCCGGAAGGUUAAUUGAUGGGGUUAGCGCAAGCGAAGCUCUUGAUCGAAGCCCCGGUAAACGGCGGCCGUAACUAUAACGGUCCUAAGGUAGCGAAAUUCCUUGUCGGGUAAGUUCCGACCUGCACGAAUGGCGUAAUGAUGGCCACGCUGUCUCCACCCGAGACUCAGUGAAAUUGAAAUCGCUGUGAAGAUGCAGUGUACCCGCGGCUAGACGGAAAGACCCCGUGAACCUUUACUACAGCUUGGCACUGAACAUUGAACCUACAUGUGUAGGAUAGGUGGGAGGCUAUGAAGACGUGACGCCAGUUGCGUUGGAGCCGUCCUUGAAAUACCACCCUUGUAUGUUUGAUGUUCUAACUUAGACCCGUUAUCCGGGUUGAGGACAGUGCCUGGUGGGUAGUUUGACUGGGGCGGUCUCCUCCCAAAGAGUAACGGAGGAGCACGAAGGUGGGCUAAUCACGGUUGGACAUCGUGAGGUUAGUGCAAUGGCAUAAGCCCGCUUAACUGCGAGAAUGACGGUUCGAGCAGGUGCGAAAGCAGGUCAUAGUGAUCCGGUGGUUCUGUAUGGAAGGGCCAUCGCUCAACGGAUAAAAGGUACUCCGGGGAUAACAGGCUGAUACCGCCCAAGAGUUCAUAUCGACGGCGGUGUUUGGCACCUCGAUGUCGGCUCAUCACAUCCUGGGGCUGAAGUCGGUCCCAAGGGUAUGGCUGUUCGCCAUUUAAAGUGGUACGCGAGCUGGGUUUAGAACGUCGUGAGACAGUUCGGUCCCUAUCUGCCGUGGGCGUUGGAAGAUUGAAGGGGGCUGCUCCUAGUACGAGAGGACCGGAGUGGACGAACCUCUGGUGUUCGGGUUGUGUCGCCAGACGCAUUGCCCGGUAGCUAAGUUCGGAAUUGAUAAGCGCUGAAAGCAUCUAAGCGCGAAGCGAGCCCUGAGAUGAGUCUUCCCUGACAGUUUAACUGUCCUAAAGGGUUGUUCGAGACUAGAACGUUGAUAGGCAGGGUGUGUAAGCGUUGUGAGGCGUUGAGCUAACCUGUACUAAUUGCCCGUGAGGCUUAACCAU
rnacentral:rRNA from 1 species